rnacentral:rRNA from 1 species
AGAGUUUGAUCCUGGCUCAGGAUGAACGCUAGCUACAGGCUUAACACAUGCAAGUCGAGGGGCAGCACGAAGAUAGCUUGCUAUUUUUGGUGGCGACCGGCGCACGGGUGAGUAACGCGUAUCCAACCUGCCCUAUGAUAGGGAAUAGCCCGGCGAAAGUCGGAUUAAUGCCCUAUGAGUUCCCACGAAGACAUCCGAAUGGGAAGAAAGGUUUACCGUCAUGGGAUGGGGAUGCGUCCGAUUAGGUUGUUGGCGGGGUAACGGCCCACCAAGCCUGCGAUCGGUAGGGGUUCUGAGAGGAAGGUCCCCCACAUUGGAACUGAGACACGGUCCAAACUCCUACGGGAGGCAGCAGUGAGGAAUAUUGGUCAAUGGGCGGGAGCCUGAACCAGCCAAGUAGCGUGCAGGAUGACGGCCCUAUGGGUUGUAAACUGCUUUUGUGCGGGAAUAAAGUCACUCACGUGUGGGUGUUUGUAUGUACCGCAAGAAUAAGGACCGGCUAAUUCCGUGCCAGCAGCCGCGGUAAUACGGAAGGUCCGGGCGUUAUCCGGAUUUAUUGGGUUUAAAGGGAGCGCAGGCGGGCUGUUAAGCGUGACGUGAAAUGCUGGGGCUUAACCUUAUGUAGUGCGUCGCGAACUGGCAGUCUUGAGUGGGUACGACGUUUGCGGAAUUCGUGGUGUAGCGGUGAAAUGCUUAGAUAUCACGAAGAACUCUGAUUGCGCAGGCAGCAAGCGAGUCCCUUACUGACGCUAAAGCUCGAAGGUGCGGGUAUCGAACAGGAUUAGAUACCCUGGUAGUCCGCACGGUAAACGAUGGAUGCCUGCUGUUGGCGAUACAAUGUCAGCGGCCAAGCGAAAGCGUUAAGCAUCCCACCUGGGGAGUACGCCGGCAACGGUGAAACUCAAAGGAAUUGACGGGGGCCCGCACAAGCGGAGGAACAUGUGGUUUAAUUCGAUGAUACGCGAGGAACCUUACCCGGGCUUGAAUUGCAGAGGAAGGAUUUAGAGAUAAUGACGCCCUUCGGGGUCUCUGUGAAGGUGCUGCAUGGUUGUCGUCAGCUCGUGUCGUGAGAUGUUGGCUUAAGUGCCAUAACGAGCGCAACCCUUUUCGAUAGUUGCCAUCAGUUCGGCUGGGCACUCUGUCGACACUGCCGCCGUAAGGUGUGAGGAAGGUGGGGAUGACGUCAAAUCAGCACGGCCCUUACGUCCGGGGCUACACACGUGUUACAAUGGGAGUUACAGAGCGUCAGGCACCGGCAACGUUGUCUUAAUCGUGAAAGUCUCCCUCAGUUCGGAUUGGGGUCUGCAACCCGACCCCAUGAAGCUGGAUUCGCUAGUAAUCGCGCAUCAGCCAUGGCGCGGUGAAUACGUUCCCGGGCCUUGCACUCACCGCCCGUCA